GGUUUCGAUUUGAUGAAAUAUAGUUCAGUUGAAUAAAUCUGUGAUAACUUAACUGAAGCCCUAAUGUCUUUCGCUCCUAUCUGAACAUGUAU
rnacentral:snoRNA from 1 species